AUUGAACGCUGGCGGCAUGCCUUACACAUGCAAGUCGAACGGCAGCGGACCUUCGGGUGCCGGCGAGUGGCGAACGGGUGAGUAAUAUAUCGGAACGUACCUUUCAGUGGGGGAUAACGUAGCGAAAGUUACGCUAAUACCGCAUAUUCUGUGAGCAGGAAAGCAGGGGAUCGCAAGACCUUGCGCUGAUUGAGCGGCCGAUAUCAGAUUAGCUAGUUGGUGAGGUAAAGGCUCACCAAGGCGACGAUCUGUAGCGGGUCUGAGAGGAUGAUCCGCCACACUGGAACUGAGACACGGUCCAGACUCCUACGGGAGGCAGCAGUGGGGAAUUUUGGACAAUGGGCGCAAGCCUGAUCCAGCCAUGCCGCGUGAGUGAAGAAGGCCUUCGGUUGUAAAGCUCUUUCGGUCCGGGAACGAAAGUACGCACAGGUUAAUA
rnacentral:rRNA from 1 species